GGCUGCACCAUGUUAAAACAACGGUUCCCGUACGAUCACCGAAGUUAAGCAAAGUCGAGCCUGGCCAAUACCUAGAUGGGUGACCGCUUGGAAAUACCAGAU